rnacentral:pre_miRNA from 2 species
GGAAACUUGAAAACUACUGUUGGAUCAAAAAAUAGACUCUGAGAUUUGUCCACGUCAUCACGAGUAAAAAUUUUACUCACAGAUUCACUCAUGAGUUAAAAUUUUACCAUGGUGACGUGGACGAAUCUUGAACAUCCAUUUCUAUUUUUCGAUCCAAUGGUAGUUUCCAUGUUUUC